rnacentral:rRNA from 1 species
UACAGAGACUGCGAGCGUUAUUCGGAUUCACUGGGCGUAAAGGGUGCGCAGGCGGCCAAGUGUGUGAGGCGUGAAAGCCUGGAGCUUAACUCCAGAAUUGCACCUCAAACUACAUGGCUAGAGCAUUGGAGAGGGUAGCGGAAUUCACGAUGUAGCAGUGAAAUGCGUAGAUAUGUGGAGGAACACCGAUGGCGAAGGCAGCCUUCUGGGCCAACACUGACGCUCAUGCACGAAAGCGUGGGGAGCAAACAGG